rnacentral:rRNA from 1 species
CAAGGCGACGAUCCCUAGCUGGUCUGAGAGGAUGACCAGCCACACUGGAACUGAGACACGGUCCAGACUCCUACGGGAGGCAGCAGUGGGGAAUAUUGCACAAUGGGCGCAAGCCUGAUGCAGCCAUGCCGCGUGUAUGAAGAAGGCCUUCGGGUUGUAAAGUACUUUCAGCGGGGAGGAAGGUGUUGUGGUUAAUAACCGCAGCAAUUGACGUUACCCGCAGAAGAAGCACCGGCUAACUCCGUGCCAGCAGCCGCGGUAAUACGGAGGGUGCAAGCGUUAAUCGGAAUUACUGGG